rnacentral:rRNA from 1 species
CUACGGAACUCCUACGGGAGGCAGCAGUGGGGAAUUUUGGACAAUGGGGGCAACCCUGAUCCAGCCAUGCCGCGUGUGUGAAGAAGGUCUUCGGAUUGUAAAGCACUUUGAGUUGGGAGGAAGGGCAUUAACCUAAUGCGUUAGUGUCUUGACGUUACCGACAGAAUAAGCACCGGCUAACUCUGUGCCAGCAGCCGCGGUAAUACAGAGGGUGCAAGCGUUAAUCGGAAUUACUGGGCGUAAAGCGCGCGUAGGUGGUUUGUUAAGUUGAAUGUGAAAUCCCCGGGCUCAACCUGGAAACUGCAUCCAAAACUGGCAAGCUAGAGUAUGGUAGAGGGUAGUUGAAUUUCCUGUGUAGCGGUGAAAUGCGUAGAUAUAGGAAGGAACACCAGUGGCGAAGGCGACUACCUGGACUGAUACUGACACUGAGGUGCGAAAGCGUGGGGAGCAAACAGGAUUAGAUACCCCUGUAGUCCUCUUCGA